rnacentral:rRNA from 1 species
CCUACGGGGGACAGCAGUGAGGAAUAUUGGUCAAUGGGCGCGAGCCUGAACCAGCCAAGUAGCGUGAAGGAUGACUGCCCUACGGGUUGUAAACUUCUUUUAUAAAGGAAUAAAGUGAGGCACGUGUGCCUUUUUGUAUGUACUUUAUGAAUAAGGAUCGGAUAACUCUGUGCCAGCAGCCGCGGUAAUACGGAGGAACCGAGCGUUAUCCGGAUUUAGUGGGUUAAAAGGGAGCGUAAAUGGGUUGUUAAGUCGGUUGUGAAAGUUUGCGGCUCAACCGUAAAAUUGCAAUUGAUACUGGCAGCCUUGAGUACAGUUGAGGUAGGCGGAAUUCGUGGUGUAGCGGUGAAAUGCUUAGAUAUCACGAAGAACUACGAUUGCGAAGGCAGCUUACUAAACUGCCACUGACAUUGAUGCUCGAAAGUGUGGGUAUCAAACAGGAUUAGAUACCCGGUAGUC